rnacentral:rRNA from 1 species
GCUCAUCGCAUCCUGGAGCUGAAGAAGGUUCCAAGGGUUGGGCUGUUCGCCCAUUAAAGCGGUACGUGAGCUGGGUUUAGAACGUCGCGAGACAGUUCGGUCCCUAUCUGUGGUGGGCGUAGGAGAUUUGAGGGGCGCUAUCCUUAGUACGAGAGGACCGGGAUGGACGAACCUCUGGUGCACCAGUUGUCGUGCCAACGGCAUAGCUGGAUAGCCAAGUUCGGAUGGGAUAAGCGCUGAAAGCAUAUAAGCGUGAAACCCACCCCAAGAUAAGAUCUCCCGACCCGUAAGGGUCCUAAAGACCCCUGGAAGACCACCAGGUGAUAGGCUGGGUGUGGAAGCGCGGAGACGCGUGGAGCUUACCAGUACUAAUCGGUCGUGAGGCUUGACCAUAAAA